rnacentral:rRNA from 1 species
UACGUAGGGACCAAGCGUUGUUCGGAUUUACUGGGCGUAAAGGGCGCGUAGGCGGCGUAAUAAGUCACUUGUGAAAUCUCCGGGCUUAACUCGGAGCGGCCAAGUGAUACUGUUAGGCUAGAGUGCAGAAAGGGCAAUCGGAAUUCUUGGUGUAGCGGUGAAAUGCGUAGAUAUCAAGAGGAACACCUGAGGCGAAGGCGAAUCUCUGGACAGUUACUGACACUGAGGCACGAAGGCCAGGGGAGCAAACGGG